CCGUCCCGCCAACCCGUCCCAUA
rnacentral:siRNA from 1 species